AAAUCCGGUACUCAUUAAGGCUGAGCUGUGAUGGGGAGAAGACAUUGUGUCUUCGAGUCGUUGAUUUCACACUGCCGAGAAAAGCCUCUAGAUAGAAAAUAGGUGCCCGUACCGCAAACCGACACAGGUAGUCAAGAUGAGAAUUCUAAGGUGAGCGAGCGAACUCUCGUUAAGGAACUCGGCAAAAUGACCCCGUAACUUCGGGAGAAGGGGUGCUCUUUAGGGUUAACGCCCAGAAGAGCCGCAGUGAAUAGGCCCAAGCGACUGUUUAUCAAAAACACAGGUCUCUGCUAAACCGUAAGGUGAUGUAUAGGGGCUGACGCCUGCCCGGUGCUGGAAGGUUAAGAGGAGUGGUUAGCUUCUGCGAAGCUACGAAUCGAAGCCCCAGUAAACGGCGGCCGUAACUAUAACGGUCCUAAGGUAGCGAAAUUCCUUGUCGGGUAAGUUCCGACCCGCACGAAAGGCGUAACGAUUUGGGCACUGUCUCAACGAGAGACUCGGUGAAAUCAUAGUACCUGUGAAGAUGCAGGUUACCCGCGACAGGACGGAAAGACCCCGUGGAGCUUUACUGUAGCCUGAUAUUGAAAUUCGGCACAGCUUGUACAGGAUAGGUAGGAGCCUUUGAAACGUGAGCGCUAGCUUACGUGGAGGCGCUGGUGGGAUACUACCCUAGCUGUGUUGGCUUUCUAACCCGCACCACUUAUCGUGGUGGGAGACAGUGUCAGGCGGGCAGUUUGACUGGGGCGGUCGCCUCCUAAAAGGUAACGGAGGCGCUCAAAGGUUCCCUCAGAAUGGUUGGAAAUCAUUCAUAGAGUGUAAAGGCAUAAGGGAGCUUGACUGCGAGACCUACAAGUCGAGCAGGGUCGAAAGACGGACUUAGUGAUCCGGUGGUUCCGCAUGGAAGGGCCAUCGCUCAACGGAUAAAAGCUACCCCGGGGAUAACAGGCUUAUCUCCCCCAAGAGUUCACAUCGACGGGGAGGUUUGGCACCUCGAUGUCGGCUCAUCGCAUCCUGGGGCUGUAGUCGGUCCCAAGGGUUGGGCUGUUCGCCCAUUAAAGCGGUACGCGAGCUGGGUUCAGAACGUCGUGAGACAGUUCGGUCCCUAUCCGUCGUGGGCGUAGGAAAUUUGAGAGGAGCUGUCCUUAGUACGAGAGGACCGGGAUGGACAUACCUCUGGUGUACCAGUUGUCGUGCCAACGGCAUAGCUGGGUAGCUAUGUGUGGACGGGAUAAGUGCUGAAAGCAUCUAAGCAUGAAGCCCCCCUCAAGAUGAGAUUUCCCAACUUCGGUUAUAAGAUCCCUCAAAGAUGAUGAGGUUAAUAGGUUCGAGGUGGAAGCAUGGUGACAUGUGGAGCUGACGAAUACUAA
rnacentral:rRNA from 1 species